CCCUUAGAUGUUCGGGGCCGCACGCGCGCUACACUGAAGGAAUCAGCACGUCUUUCUCCUUGUCCGAAAGGACUGGGUAACCCGCUGAACCUCCUUCGUGCUAGGGAUUGGGGCUUGUAAUUCUUCCCCAUGAACGAGGAAUUCCCAGUAAGCGCGAGUCAUAAGCUCGCGUUGAUUACGUCCCUGCCCUUUGUACACACCACCCGUCGCUACUACCGAUUGGAUGGUUUAGUGAGAUCCUCGGAUUGGUCCCGGAGCGGCCUCUGGUCGUGCCGGAGUGCCGAAAAGAAUGUCGAACUUGAUCAUCUAGAGGAAGUAAAAGUCGUAACA
rnacentral:rRNA from 1 species